GUUCUAUCUAGUUUCUCUUUUCUUCCAAAAUUAUUCUAAAUUAGUUUUAUUACUUGGUUAUUUGAGCUGUCGAUCUUAUUCUUCCUACUUUAUUCUAUCCGAAUCUGUCAUUUUUCUUAUUUGUACAACUCAAUAAUUUACUAUGAAAUUUGACAAUUUGUGGAUGGUCAGUUAUUAUCUCUCUAUAAUUCAGUUGCAAUGCUUAGGACUUCUGUUCUUUUGUUUUACUUUUGUUGUAGAUAAGAUUAGAUAUGUUAUGUUCUAUUGCAAAUGAAGAAACACACAGAUAAUUGAAAUGAGAUAUUUUGUGCUAGUAAUAUAAUGUAAGGACUAUUUAUGGGAUUAAAGUAAGGAUUUUUAAAUGCAAAAAGAGUCUUAGAUUAUAUUUGAACCUGCCUUGCACAACUUGUGUGAGAUUUGUUUUGUAGUGCCAUGGUUAUAGCCAAUGUAAUUUAAACUAUGAUUUCCUUAUGUUGAAAUUAAGCCUUAAUGAAGAUGAAAAUUCUGGAAGCAUAUGAGUAUCAUUGCUUGGUAUAAGGAUCUAUUAGUGUUAUGUGUUGCACUUUUGAUAGCGCAGAUUAAGAGAAAGGGCAUCUCGAUGCACUAGAACUCCCGCUAUGGUUGGUAUAAGGACCUAUUACAUACGCUUAUACAUGUUGUUUGUGUUUGUAUAUGUGUGUGCAUGUGUGUGUCUAUAUAUAUAUAUAUAUAUAUAUAUAUAUUUAAGCAUGCUUUGACACUUUUAUUCUCAAGUAUCAUCUAUCCUUUUGUUCAGAAAGAAUGGUGUAGUAAUUCUGAUAUAGAUCCCUAAUAUAGAACUAUCAUAAAACGAAGCUUUUUAUCAGAAAUAGGAGAUUAAGCAUAUGCUCACCUAACAUAUUCUGUGACUAUGUCGUUAGUUUCCUGGAGCUUGUAUAACUUCAUUUGUGAUACAUCAGAGAGUAAGAUAUAGAUCAACUAUUCUGUUAUUAAUGACCAUGAGGCUAGUGAUACAUUCUGUAGUACUUUGUGAUUCUUUUUUGUUAUUUCUUCCUUCUAUUAUUUUGUGUUCCUACAAUCUAAUAAGCAACUUAAAUUCCUGGUCAUGUAAAACUUCAUAAUAUUCAUAUUCUUUUUAAUCUUCUAUCAUUAUAUUUAUUCCAUUGAUUGUCAAGUUAUUCUCCUCAAUGAGAGAGAACCGGGCUACCAAAAAGGAAUAUGCUAAAAUAGAAGAUGGUUUGAAGUCACUUCAGAGUGUUGGAGAAAUCAUAGGAGAAGUGCUCCGACCUCUAGAUAAUGAGUGUUAUAAGUACCCUUUAUACUAACUAAUAUUCAUUUACUUUUUUAGUCAUAGAAAUGCAUUAUUGAUCAAAAAGUGUUUAUUUUUUUCCUUUACAUGAAAAAAGUUACUUAGACCUUUUUUAACUUUUUAGUGAUAGUAAAAGCUAGCAGCGGUCCAAGGUAUAUGGUUGGCUGUCACAAUAAAGUGGAUAAGGAAAAACUAACUUCAGGCACAAGAGAGGUUCUCAACAUGACAACACUUACAAUCAAGCGGGCACUUCCCCGUGAAAUUAGUAAUCAUUUUUUUGCUUGCAAGUGUAAAAUGUCUAGGCCUAUAUUUAGAAUUAUUACAUAUGUUCAUCCCCAGUUUCCUUAACUUGAGAAAUUAAUGGCAAGUUGAUCCUGUUGUAUACAACAUGCGUCAUGAAGAUUUUUGCAAUAUCAAUUACUCUGUUGUGGGUGGACAGUCAGAUUAGAUCAGGGAGCUAAGAGAAUCCAUAGAGUUGCCUCUAAUGAAUCCCUAGCUUUUCCUCCUGAGGAUUAAGCCUCCAUAGGUAAAUUAUUAAAUAUAAUUUUCUGUAUUCUUUUACAUUUAGAGCCAUGUAUAGAAAUGUUUUUGCUUGUAAUAUUAGUUCUUAGGUAAACAAGGAUUUUAUCUGAGGGUGUUCUUCUCUAUGGACCUCUUGGAAUGGGAAAGACAUUGUUAGCCAAGGCAAUCACUAGCAACAUAGAUACCAAUUUAUUAAAGGUGUACAUACUAGAAUUUGGGUAUAUCUACAGUCUAACAACAUCUCAUAAUGGGCAUUUAUAAUUGGUGAUUGUUGCAGGUCAUAUCAAGUGCCAUUAUUGAUAAGUACAUUUGUAAGAGUGUAAGAUUAAUUUGGGAAAUGUUUAAUUAUGCUUGUGAUUACUAAGUAAGAUUUCAAUCGAAUUCAUUUCAUAUAUUGGGAGUGUUGGACUUGUAGAAUGAUUCUGGAGGUGCCCUAAAAUAUUAACACUCUAUUAUCUUUAUUUGUAUCCCUGUAUCAUUUUCAUGGAUGAGAUAGAUGCAUUUAGUAGACGCUGUUUCAGCGAGGCAACCAAUGCAGACCAUCAAAUCCAAAGAAUGCUCAUUGAUUUGAUCAAUAAUUGGAUGAAAGUCCUCAAGAUCCAUGAUGCUGGGAUCGACAGACAUGGGGAAAUUGAUUAUGAGGUUGCUAUUAUGCUCGGUGCGGUUUGCUAAUAAUUCUAACAAGAAAAUAUUAUACUGUUUCUAUUGCAUCAAUGUUCUAAUGACUUAUUUUAUCCUCAGGGUUAGGGUUUUAAUGGGGCUAAUAUACAUGAUAUUCUGUACAAUCUGUGGACUCCAUCCAUCUAUAAUAUGUCUUGACACUUGCUAGGUCCCCAAAACAUCACUGUUCGACCUUGAGUGAGAUAUUUUCCCAAAAAUAAAUCCCAUCUCUUCAUGAUAUUCAUCCACAAAUCACACUCCUAAGCUAAAGUGAUAUCUUUAGUUCUCCAACCCUCUUUAGUAAUACCAUAUUUAUCAACUACCACCUCUUUCACGGAGCUUGUACCCCCACCCCACCCUCUACCCCUCGCGAACAUCCAAAGUCAAUUGUUUAGUAAAGCUUUAUUAAAGACUUUUAAGCAUUGUAAUUCCUAGGUAUCCUAUUUUUUAGGAGAUGUAACAGUUAUCCAACGCACCAAGUUAAAGUUUCUUGCACCAUCCGCCUCUUUACCUAAAAUUAAUCUAGUUUCUUCAAGUUUUUUUCCUUCUACUGUCAUAACAUUUACUAAUUAAAUAUACAUUAUCCUCUUGAAUUCGUGUAGACAAGACAACCCAGCCGUCAAUGUUAUAAAAAAAGAGUUUGGUUUUUUCGUGCUUUAUGACCUGGAAUUUUAAUUUUAGUUGGUCAAGUUGAAUUUUUGAGCGUUUGACAGUUUCCCAAUUGUUUCCCUAUUGUAUUAUGGUUAGCAAUAUCAUUUAGGUCUUUUAUUUUUCAGAAUUAACCUUUAUUUUUAGGAUUCCUAAAGAUUGCCUUUAGUUCUAAGGAAGUUCAUGCACUAAAUGUUAUUAACCUUUUGACACACCCUAUGUUGGUUAUUUUAUAAUCUCUAACUAGUGUUUCCUAAACUUUGUUUCAGCUUAUGCAAAUUGUGAAAGUCAUUAGAACAUUAUGUCUUAGAUAGUAGAGUUGCAUUUAUGUCUUAGAUAGUAGAGUUGCAUUUAUUUUUAGAUAAUAACUUUUGCUGAUUUUAUACAGCCUACCAGUCACUGUGGACAAAAUCAGAAUUCUGAUUGGCGUCCUGCAAAGGCUGCCUUGUAUUGUAUAUGAGCUAUAUUAGAUUAUGUUUCUGAUAUUGGAGCCAAAGUAAUGUCGAAGGUCUGAAUGAUGGUUUAAAAUUAUGUCUAUUCAACUUUUUUUAACUUAAGAAAUUAUGUUGACUUGUUUUUAUUCUUUGUUACCUUACUAUUUCAACAUGCAGAUAAUUCCUUUGCUUCCCAAGUUGCCUCAUCAGCACCAGCUACUUCAAACAGGUUAAGACUUAGGAGUAUCACCCAAUCUGAAAAUUUCUGAAGAUUAAAGUUACAAAUGAAAGUACAAGUUCAUAAAAUGCACGGGCUCAUUAUUAUUUUGCUAAGAACAUUAUGUAAACUUGACAACAAAUUCUAGCUAGCGAUGUUAAUUGGUUAGGUUUUUUUAUUUAGAAAAUAUUAAAACUAUUGAUAUGAUACAGCUCGAGAUGUUAAAUGGUUAAGUUUUUAUUUUUUAGCAAAUAUUGAAACUAUUGACAUCAUA